rnacentral:lncRNA from 1 species
AAGGCAACUCAUCAGCUUCUCUGGAGUAAAAGUAUGAAGAGUUACUGUUUGUUAAACCAUAAAGUCAUGCUUUCACAAUAAAAUUUCAUCUUUGAAUUCCAAAGCAAACUAGAAAAAGGAAACCCAUAUAAGAUCAGAAAUAAUACUAAUAGAAGCUAUGAGUAAUAUAUUUAUACUAAUGCCAAAACUUUUAAAGAUAUAAACAUACCAUCUUUAACAAAAAAAAAAAACAAGCAAUUUCAAAGAAGAGUGCAACCAUGUUAGAACACCAUCCACACCAAUAACAUGGAUAUUUUUUUUAGUACAUUCUCAUAAAUAACAAGCAAAAGAAACACUUCACAUCAAGAGAACCCCAAAUGUUCAACCGUAUGGAGGAGAAAAUUCCUAUUAAAAAGAUGGCUAAUAGCCUGAUACCCAACAUUGCUUCAGCUUCGGAUACAACUCAUAUUUAAGCCGGCAAAAGGAAAGGCGUUUCAUAAAUUUCGAAAUUAAAUCGAAAUUCUAAGCAAUUUACCAGUAAGUGCCUGUAAAAAGAAUGGUUUAGACGUUUAGUAAAGAAAAUAUAUAAAAAGGCUCCAAUUCUAAAGCUUAGGAAAAAAAAGGACUACCUGAAAGUGAAAGCCAAGAGAAGAAGACUAAACGACAGCGUUCAAUUUGCCUGAUAAGAGAAGAAUUAUGCGACUGAAAGGGAUUGUCCCAGCUGGCUGUUUCGGGCCCUGACACGGGCUCACCUCGCCACCGACUCUUCCCCCCAAAACCGCUGAAACCGCCGUGUCAAGUGGCUGUUUCAGACCAAGACACGGGCGCACCUCCCAACCAACACGAACACCCACCGACACUUCCUGCCAAAACCCCUUCUUCUACUGCUGCAGCCGCCUAGUAAGAUGGCGGUUUCAGACCCCAACACGGGCGCACCUCCCAACCACCACAAACACUCAUUGACUCUUCCCGCCAAAACCCAACACUCCCCUCUAUGUAAACCAAAAGACCCAAAUGCCAUCUUCAUUUGUUUUUC